rnacentral:rRNA from 1 species
CGCCCAUAACGAUGACUGCUUGGAUUUGUGGUUUCCGCCCUUUCUGCUGCAGCUAACGCAUUAAGCACUCCGCCUGGGGAGUACGGUCGCAAGACUGAAACUCAAUGGAAUUGAGGGGGGCCCGCACAAGCGGUGGAGCAUGUGGUUUAAUUCGAAGCAACGCGAAAAACCUUACCAGGUCUUGGCAUCCUCUGACAACUCUAGAGAUAGAGCGUUCCCCUUCGGGGGACAGAGUGACAGGUGGUGCAUGGUUGUCGUCUCUCGUGUCGUGAGAUGUUGGGUUAAGUCCCGCAACGAGCGCAACCCUUGAUCUUUUUGCCAGUUUUAGUUGGGCACUCUAAGGUGACUGCCGGUGACAAACCGGAGGAAGGUGGGGAUGACGUCAAAUCAUCAUGCCCCUUAUGACCUGGGCUACACACGUGCUACAAUGGAUGGUACAAAGGGCUGCCAGACCGCGAGGUCAAGCCCCUCCCAUAAAACCAUUCUCAGUUCGGAUUGUAGGCUGCAACUCGCCUACAUGAAGCUGGAAUCGCUAGUAAUCGCGGAUCAAUGUGCCGCGGAGAAUACUUUCCCGGCCCUUGUACACCCCCCCCGUCACACCGCGAGAGUUUGUAACACCCAAUAUCUGUGGUAUAACUCUAAAGAGCUAUCACCCUAAUGUGGGACAGAUGAUUGGGGAGAACUCAUAAAGGGGUACACAAAAA